rnacentral:rRNA from 1 species
AUUGAACGCUGGCGGCAUGCUUUACACAUGCAAGUCGAACGGCAGCGCGGGCUUCGGCCUGGCGGCGAGUGGCGAACGGGUGAGUAAUACAUCGGAACGUGCCCAGUAGUGGAGGAUAGCUCGGCGAAAGCCGGAUUAAUACCGCAUACGACCUGAGGGUGAAAGCGGGGGAUCUUCGGACCUCGCGCUAUUGGAGCGGCCGAUGGCAGAUUAGCUAGUUGGUGGGGUAAAGGCCUACCAAGGCGACGAUCUGUAGCUGGCCUGAGAGGACGACCAGCCACACUGGGACUGAGACACGGCCCAGACUCCUACGGGAGGCAGCAGUGGGGAAUUUUGGACAAUGGGCGAAAGCCUGAUCCAGCAAUGCCGCGUGUGUGAUGAAGGCCUUCGGGUUGUAAAGCACUUUUGGCGGGAACGAAAAGGACUGUGCCAAUACCACGGUUCGAUGACGGUACCCGCAGAAUAAGCACCGGCUAACUACGUG